rnacentral:rRNA from 1 species
CCUACGGGAGGCUGCAGUGGGGGAUAUUGCACAAUGGGGGAAACCCUGAUGCAGCGACGCCGCGUGGGUGAAGAAGUAUUUCGGUAUGUAAAGCCCUAUCAGUAGGGAAGAAAGGAGACGGUACAUGACCAAGAAGCAUCGACUAACUACGUGCCAGCAGCCGCGGUACUAUGGAGGGGGCGAGCGUUAUCCGGAUUUACUGGGCGUAAAGGGAGCGUAGACGGCUGUGCAAGCUCGGAGUGAAAGGCCGGGGCCCAACCCCGGGACUGCUCUUGAAACUGUGCGGCUGGAGUGCGGGAGGGGCAGGCGGAAUUCCUGGUGUAGCAGUGAAAUGCGUAGAUAUCAGGAGGAACACCGGCGGCGAAGGCGGCCUGCUGGACCGCGACUGACGUUGAGGCUCGAAAGCGUGGGGAGCGAACAGGAUUAGAUACCCUUGUAGUC